CACUUCUAUGCUUACUGUAUGCACACGACACUUUUGAUUGAUUAAGUUCUCUUCUGAAUAUCUCAUCCAACAGAUUGAACUUGAACGAGUGGUUCAGAGGAUUGAAAACCAAAAUUCAGCUGGAGAAAUUUUCCACUCUAUGGUUGAAAGUGCAUUGCAUCAAUAUGGUCGUGGCAGUGCUGAUCUUGUAACUGAAUUGUGCAGUGAAGGCAGGCUUUCACAUGAGUUCAUGCAAAUGCUCAGUCAUGACAUUUCCCAAAGACUUAAAGAUGAAGCAGGAUCAUAGGCAAAAGAAUUUCUGUUCUUUUACAUGUGAUAUGAAUGUACUUCAAGUAGUUGGGUUACUACAUGAGUGCAAAAUUUCUUAGUACGUUGUGAUUUUUGCCUGUGGUUGAUUGCUAAAAUAUAGUUACUAGAAUGUUGUGUUCUCUUUGAGAGUACGAAGAGCUGUGCAGUUGUGGAUCAAUGAAUUGACACAGAUCAUGGUUCAUUUGUAAGAGAAUUCAAUUGGACUAUUGAUAUCUCCGAGCCGUACAUCUUAACCUCUUCGAGGUUCAUUUGCUUGCUUUUGAGUUUCCUUUUCCCUGCUAUUGAACCUCGACAAAUUGAGUUCUAAAUCUGCUUUAUGUUGAUAAUC